CAGUCGCCGCGGUAAUGCGAAGGGUGCAAGCGUUAAUCGGAAUUACUGGGCGUAAAGCGUGCGUAGGCGGUGAGUUAAGUCUGCUGUGAAAUCCCCGGGCUCAACCUGGGAAUGGCAGUGGAUACUGGCUCGCUAGAGUGUGUCAGAGGAUAGUGGAAUUCCCGGUGUAGCGGUGAAAUGCGUAGAGAUCGGGAGGAACAUCAGUGGCGAAGGCGGCCAUCUGGGACAACACUGACGCUGAGGCACGAAAGCGUGGGGAGCAAACAGGAUUAGAGACCCCCGUAGUCCCUGUCUCUUAUAC
rnacentral:rRNA from 1 species